UUAAUAGGCUCUUCCUUCAUCAGUCAACAGUUUCCUCAGGGCUGCCAGGACUCUGAGGUCACAGACAAGCCUUAGUGGUGCAACCAGACUCAGCUGUACCUGUCCAUGACAUCUGGUGACCUGAAUCCCAGCUUGCAGACUGACUUCCUGACUUGAACUUGGACCUGACUCAUCCUCAUGCAUUUCCUUGGUGAUCCAGGCUCUUGUCUGGACCUGUCCACCAUCUCUUUGUCUGCACAGAGCAGACCCUUGCUGUUCCCUCACUCUGGCUGAGGGCAGUAUUUUGGCACGAAAGUGCUGUACCUCUGCGAGCUCAUGUCUACUGCCCUUAGGCAUGGUUUGCUUCAUCCACACCUAGUGUGACACAGCAUUGAAAACUAAUGAACAUAUGUCACCUGAUACAAGCCAAAAUAUGGCUCAUUGGUCUAGUGUGAACAAGCUGGGGGAAAAGGAGAAGUCUAGGGAGACAGGACCAGGAAAUCAGACAGAAAAAAUUGCCAGUGAUUCCAGGAUGUUCCCAUCUGCUGUGAUGACAACAAGGAAGAUCCACCUGCUAUCAUUUUUGUGGAAACAGAUCACAAGCAAUGCAGCUGAUUCUGCUGUCUUACAAAGCCUUAGUACUCUUCAUCACCAGCCCUAUGAAAGUCACAUCUUGGAAGCAGUGGACUCAGUGGCUGAAUGAAUGGAAGCAGUUCUAGGCUAUACGUAUGUCUGCCUCAUCAUGCUCAGAGCUUGUGGGGAGACAGAAAUUAUGACAUCAGAUUUUGUUGGAGUCAUCUGUAUGAAAUCAGGCAAUACAGUUAUAUUCUAUUUGUAACUCAAAUAUUUGUUACUUGUGCCAAUUUCACAUUUCAGGCCAUGAAGCUGUAGUAAUAAAGAAUUAU
rnacentral:lncRNA from 1 species